rnacentral:rRNA from 1 species
CUGCUACCAUGCAGUCGACGCGGUUUUCCCGCAAGGGAAAACUGAGUGGCGAACGGGUGAGUAACACGUGGGUGACCUACCUUCGAGUGGGGGAUAACGUCCCGAAAGGGACGCUAAUACCGCAUAACAUCCUGCCUUUGAACAGGCGGAGAUCAAAGCCGGGGAUCGCAAGACCUGGCGCUUGAUGAGGGGCCCGCGUCCGAUUAGCUAGUUGGUGGGGUAAUGGCUCACCAAGGCAACGAUCGGUAGCCGGCCUGAGAGGGCGGACGGCCACACUGGGACUGAGACACGGCCCAGACUCCUACGGGAGGCAGCAGUGGGGAAUUGUUCGCAAUGGGCGCAAGCCUGACGACGCAACGCCGCGUGGAGGAUGAAGGUCUUCGGAUUGUAAACUCCUGUUGCCCGGGACGAAUAGCUCCAACCUAAUACGUUGGAGUGUGACGGUACCGGGUGAGGAAGCCCCGGCUAACUCUGUGCCAGCAGCCGCGGUAAUACAGAGGGGGCAAGCGUUGUUCGGAAUUACUGGGCGUAAAGGGCGCGUAGGCGGCCUGUUAAGUCGAACGUGAAAUCCCCGGGCUCAACCCGGGAACUGCGUCCGAUACUGGCAGGCUUGAAUCCGGGAGAGGGAUGCGGAAUUCCAGGUGUAGCGGUGAAAUGCGUAGAUAUCUGGAGGAACACCGGUGGCGAAGGCGGCAUCCUGGACCGGCAUUGACGCUGAGGCGCGAAAGCCAGGGGAGCAAACGGGAUUAGAUACCCCGGUAGUCCUGGCCCUAAACGAUGAAUGCUUGGUGUGGCGGGUAUCGAUCCCUGCCGUGCCGAAGCUAACGCAUUAAGCAUUCCGCCUGGGGAGU